AGUGAACGCUGGCGGCGGGCCUAAUACAUGCAAGUCGAGCGGACGGACAAUAAGCGUUCGCCUCUAACGUUGGCGACUGACGGAUGGGUGACGCAUAGAUAGCCUACUUCUAAUUCUUGGAGAACUUCGUGGAACCAGUUCUGAUAACACAUAAUAUAUUCAACCGCAUAAUUCAGUGGUUAAUGACAGUUUGCCUGUCACUUAUAGAUGAAGCCGCGCCGGAUUAUCUGGUUGGUAAGGUAACGGCUUACCAAGGCGACGAUGCGUAGCCGAUCUGAGAGGGUGAUCGGCCACACUGGAACUGAGACACGGUCCAGACUCCUACGGGAGGCAGCAGUAGGGAAUAUUCCGCAAUGGGCGCAAGCCUGAUGCAGCCAUGCCGCGUGGGUGAUGAAGGUCUUCGGAUUGUAAAACCCUGUUAUUAGGGAAGAAAAACUGCGUAAGAAAAUCUCGCUGUUCUGACGGUACCCAAACAGAAAGCAACGGCUAACUUCGUG
rnacentral:rRNA from 1 species